GAGUAGGCGCCGGAUGAACGGAUGUCAUUGAUGUUGACAAGCAUAGGAUUAUUAUUCUCCUACUUU
rnacentral:tRNA from 1 species